UACAGAGGCCCCAAGCAUUACCCGGAAUCAUUGGGCGUAAAGGGUGUCGAGGCGGCCUUGUUAGUCUCCCGUAAAAUCCGCAGGCUUAACCUGCGGUCGGCGGGGGAAACGGCAAGGCUCGAGGUCGGAAGAGGUGCAUGGAACUCACGGUGGAGGGGUGAAAUCCGUUGAUAUCGUGGGGAACACCAAAGGCGAAGGCAGUGCACUGGUCCGAAUCUGACGCUCACACACGAAAGCCAGGGGAGCGAACGGG
rnacentral:rRNA from 1 species